rnacentral:rRNA from 1 species
AGCAGCCGCGGUAAUUCCAGCUCCAAUAGCGUAUAUUAAAGUUGUUGCAGCUAAAAAGCUCGUAGUUGAAUUUCGGGAUUGACACGUCGGUCGUGCCCUAAGGGGUAUGAACUGGCGUAGUCAAUUUCUCACCUUCUGGAGAACCGCGCUGUCCUUAAUUGGGUGACGCGGGGAACCAGGACCUUUACUUUGAAAAAUUAGAGUGUUUAAAGCAGGCAUUUUGCUUGAAUACAUUAGCAUGGAAUAAUAAAAUAGGACGGCAUGAUUCUAUUUUGUUGGUUUCUAGGAUCACCGUAAUGAUUAAUAGGGAUAGUUGGGGCAUUAGUAUUCAAUUGUCAGAGGUGAAAUUCUUGGAUUUAUUGAAGACUAACUACUGCGAAAGCAUUUGCCAAGGAUGUUUUCAUUAAUACAAGAACGAAAGUUAGGGGAUCGAAGACGAUCAGAUACCGU